rnacentral:lncRNA from 1 species
UCCCCCUCUCUCUUGUUCUCUCUCUCCCCCCUCCUCCAACCCUCUAUUUCUCUCUCUUCAUCAGACCUUUUCGGGAGUAGGUCCAUUUUCUGAUGGAGUGCAAAGCUACUCCUCCAUGUUCUCUUUCUUUCACUUCACCGACCAUUUUUGGUGGUGCGUCAAGCCAAGCCAGUUUUCUUUCCCUCUCCUCGUUCCUUGCAUGGGUUGUUGCCGCUUUUCAUAGGUCACGGGUUUGUCGCCAUUCAUGGCCCUUCUAGGCGUUCCUCUCCUCUCUUAGAUGCUGAACAGAUUUAAUCAUUGUGCUGCUGUUACUUUCUCUCUAAAUUACAGGCAAGGCUGAGUCAACAAUGCUUUCCUCCUAAGCGUGAUGGUUGACGAUGC